GAUGAACGCUGGCGGCGUGCUUAACACGUGCAAGUCGAACGGUGAAGGCGGAGCUUGCUCUGCUGGAUCAGUGGCGAACGGGUGAGUAACACGUGAGCAAUCUGCCCCUGACUCUGGGAUAAGCGCUGGAAACGGCGUCUAAUACUGGAUACGAGCUGCGAAGGCAUCUUCAGCAGCUGGAAAGAACUUCGGUCAGGGAUGAGCUCGCGGCCUAUCAGCUUGUUGGUGAGGUAACGGCUCACCAAGGCGUCGACGGGUAGCCGGCCUGAGAGGGUGACCGGCCACACUGGGACUGAGACACGGCCCAGACUCCUACGGGAGGCAGCAGUGGGGAAUAUUGCACAAUGGGCGAAAGCCUGAUGCAGCAACGCCGCGUGAGGGACGACGGCCUUCGGGUUGUAAACCUCUUUUAGCAGGGAAGAAGCGAAAGUGACGGUACCUGCAGAAAAAGCGCCGGCUAACUACGUG
rnacentral:rRNA from 1 species